rnacentral:rRNA from 1 species
GACAGAGGAGCCAAGCGUUGUCCGGACUGACUGGGCGUAAAGGGCACGCAGGCGGUGCGGCAAGUGGUGUGUGAAAGCGCUGGGCUUAACCGAGCGAGGCCAGGCCAAACUGCCGCACUGGAGCCAUGCAGAGGGUGGUGGAAUUGCCGGUGUAGUGGUGAAAUGCGUAGAGAUCGGCAGGAACACCAAGGGAGAAGUCAGCCACCUGGGCAUGUGCUGACGCUGAGGUGCGAAAGCGUGGGGAGCGAACUGG